AUUGCUUCUCAGCCUUUUGGCUAAGAUCAAGUGUAAUAUUUGUUCUUACCAGAAUCUCCAUUUUAACAAGAACCCAGGGAAGUCUAGGAAUCACUACUCUAGGGUCUGCUUUAGGGCUUCUGUUCUCACUUCAUACACUCUCUGGGGGGAGCUCAUCUACU
rnacentral:snRNA from 2 species